UACGGAGGAUGCAAGCGUUAUCCGGAAUGAUUGGGCGUAAAGGGUCCGCAGGUGGCAGUGUAAGUCUGCUGUUAAAGAAUGAGGCUCAACCUCAUCAAGGCAGUGGAAACUACACAGCUAGAGUACGGUCGGGGUAGAAGGAAUUCCUGGUGUAGCGGUGAAAUGCGUAGAGAUCAGGAAGAACACCGGUGGCGAAAGCGUUCUGCUAGACCUGUACUGACACUGAGGGACGAAAGCUAGGGGAGCGAAUGGG
rnacentral:rRNA from 1 species